GAAAUGCGAUAAGUAAUGUGAAUUGCAGAAUUCAGUGAAUCAUCGAAUCUUUGAACGCACAUUGCGCCCGCCAGUAUUCUGGCGGGCAUGCCUGUUCGAGCGUCAUUUCAACCAUCAAGCCCCAGGCUUGUGUUGGGGACCUGCGGCUGCCGCAGGCCCGGAAAUGCAGUGGCGGGCUCGCUGUCAUUCCGAGCGUAGUAGUUACAUCUCGCUCUGGGCGUGCUGCGGGUUCCGGCCGUUAAAAGCCUUAUUUACCCAAGGUUGACCUCGGAUCAGGUAGGAAGACCCGCUGAACUUAA
rnacentral:misc_RNA from 1 species